CUUCGGCCUUGGCCGGGGCAGCUGCUGCUUUUUCGGCAGCCGCAGGGGCUGCACCUGCGGCAGGGGUUGCGCCCUCCGCGGGGGC
rnacentral:tRNA from 1 species